GCUUGCAGGUUGCCAAAGAAGCUGCAGUAAUCUGACCAUCGACUAUCCCUUUGGAAUUGGAUCAUCCCAUUGCUCUAGGCAGCCCGAUUUCGAGCUCAUCUGCAACAAUACCACACAACCACCAAGGCUGUUAUUCAAGAAUGGCACCACUGAGAUCAUUGACUCUCCCAGUACUGGUAAGAUAUACAACCAACUAUAAAUCGGAUUUCAGAUAUACAACCAACUAUAAAUCGGAUUUCAAUUUGAAUUGAUGUUACCAGUUGAGCUGUGGGGAUUUUAGGUUGAAAUUUUAAUAUUCAACUAAAAAUAUUAAGUUGAAUGGUGAUAUUUUGGACCAAAGAGGGGGCAAGGCGCUGCCUUUGUUGGCAGAGAGGGCAAGAAAUAACAAAUCCCAUACUUUUCUAGGUAUAAAAAGCCGUUAAAAUAUAAACUCCUUCAUGUAAGAGCUCCCCUUUUGUGCCUAGAUUAUUUGCUGGGGAAUUACCUUCUAGUUAUUGAGGGCGUUAUUAAAGGCUUUGUUUUAGACUAAUGAAAAUGCAAUCUAACAACCACUCUAAAGUAAAAGCUCUGUCCUUUUGGUUUACCUCCUCUUUUAGUUAUGCCUAACAGCACUCAUCAAUUAUUAAUAUCUGUAACUUCCUCUCAAUUAUUUUUAUUUUUCUCUCCCAGAAUAUUUGGACGUUAUGUUUUCCCAUUCCAUCUCCAUGAAAUCCAAUGUCAGUGUGUACAACAUGUCAUGGGAUGCUCCUGGGAAAUCUUUCACCCUUGGAUAUGCUAGACUAAACAUCACCGGCUGUGAUUUCGAUAUAUACCAGGUGCUCGAUCAAAGUGGAAAUGUUCCUGCCAAGCUUUGCAACGUUACAUGCCCAAACAGGGGAAUCACAGAGGACAUUGCUAGGCAGGACUGCAAUGGCACCGGAUGCUGCUCCAUCGAUGUUCCAAUUCGUGCUCAGACCUUACAGCUUAUGUUUGUCCGCCAUGGCAAAGGGGCGGUCGAACUUGACGCACAAUCCAACCAAAGCUCCCUGUGGAGCACAAUCAAUGUAACAACAGUUUACGCUGUCAUUUUGUGGAGAAUCCUGGACCAACCGACGUGUGCCAGCACCUUCGAUAACAGGACCAACUAUGCCUGUAUUAGUGAGCACAGCAAAUGCAUGGAUGGCUAUUUCGCACCGAUUCUUGGUUACAAUUGCUUAUGUGAUGGUGGGUACCAAGGAAAUCCAUAUAUACUAGAUGGCUGCUCACGUGAUAGAGGUAAUUAAUUUAAUCUGCUCAAAUAAUUAUACACCAUGAACCUCGAUAUGGCCUUUUCUGUUUAUACAUAAGAUGAAAUUACGAUGGUAGGUCAGGAAAUUUCUCAGUCACAUGCAGGUUCAUGGGGUUAAAUAAUUAUACUCUGCAAAAUUGCAAGCAGGUUGACUUCAUUAUACUUUUUGAUAGAAUGACAGGGGGAACAUAUGUGAUAUUGUAGAAUGGUGAAGCAGAGAUAGCCUCAACACAAUAAUUCUAUUGAAAGAUAUAGUAACAUAUAGGCCGGGACCUUCCUUAUCCUUUAACCGACUUAUAGAAACAUAAUCGAGGGAUUAGGUAGAAAACCCAACCGGGUACAUAUGGAAGGAAAUAACGAUUCUAACAGAUAUCCCUAGAACAAAAAAAAUAUGCCGUCAAUUUCGUUUUAUAAAAAGAACAAUUUUGCUUUAUCCUAAGCCAUUUUAUCUUUGAGUCAAAUUUUCCAAUAUUUUCUCAUUCAACUCAUUUCAUUUGAUUGCACUAUUAUGCAUAUGAACAACACUUAGCUUGUAUCAAGAAUAGCUAGAGUUAGUUCAGCCAUAUUAGCGCAACCAUAAUAGUACUUAUCCAACAGCUAAAAUCAUUAAGGGAAGAAACAAUAUUUGUUAUUAGAUGAUAGUACUAUGAGUCUAUGAGGCCAAGCUUGUCCACUCAUGGGUACCCGUACCCAUUGACACACUCCUUCCAAAUCCAACUAUAAGUUAGCCAAAUAAACUAGUGUGGGUCGGCCAACAUGCUUCUCCGGCUAAACAUACUUAACUGACCCCCCCCCCCCCGGUUCAAUUAGCUGCUGACCAAGUUACCACAUGAACGAGAUCCAAAUUUACAGUAGGAUUAGUUCAAUAUAUAUUAAUUGUCUGUACACCAUAUAAACCAAGAGAGUCUUAGGCUAAUCCUUUUGGGAGAAGCAAAUUAAGAGAAAAUCCUAAAAACGCAUGGAUUACCCCCCACCCCCCCCCCACCCCGUGGCACAAAAUUUGGAGAAUGGCGGCCAGUUUUUCAGCACAUCUCCUUCAGACAGUUGAAUGCUAUACAAAUUCUCUAAACAACCGUUACUUGUGAAACUGUUAAUUUCAUUUCACAAAACAGGAUAUAAUCCAUUCCAACAGAAGGAUGUCUGCGACAGAAAGUGCGGGAGCAUUGAUGUCCCAUAUCCAUUUGGCCUAGAAGAAGGGUGCGCUGCAAGGAAAUCAUUUCAGCUAAACUGCACAAACAUGUUAUCGUCCAGCCUCCAACUGAACGAUGAAUACCAUGUAACGUAUAUAAAUGUCAGCAAUGGGCUCAUGGGCGUAGAAGACACCACAGAUUACAAACAGUACAUGUAUGGGAUGCGUGUGACGCAGGAGCCUCAACUCUAUAUCGGAUCUGGGGAAUCAGCCUCAGUGCAAUGGGCUGUUGCUAAUCUAACCUGCCUAGAGGCACAGCAAAAUAUAUCUGGAUAUGCUUGUGUUAGCAUCAAUAGCACAUGCUUGGGUGUCAACUCAACAGAUGAUUACAUUGGGUAUCGGUGUAGUUGCACACUUGGCUUCCAAGGAAAUCCAUAUAUCCAAGAUGGUUGCCAAGGUUAUAAUCUCUGCCCUUCUCCCUCUCCCUUCCGAUCUCGCUCUUUCUCUGAUCUUACUAAGUGAUGUUGCAGAUAUUAAUGAAUGUUUGGUGCCAAACAAAUGUAAAGGAGUAUGCUACAAUACUCCUGGAAGUUACCGUUGCACUGCUUGCCCUGAUAAAACACAGUAUGAUAUGACAACAAUGCAGUGCACCCGGACAAGAAGACAAAGUCUUAUGUUAGGUGAGGUCCAGAGUCCUAUACACUCUUGAUCUUAUAAUGAACAUGACAACAUACUAACGAGCAUAUAAACUAUUACAGGUGUUGUCAUUGGACUUAGCUGUGGCUUCAGCAUCCUACUUCUCAGCUUAGGAAUAAUGCUUCUCAUUCAUAGAUGGAAAAAAGACAUACAAAAGCAACUACGAAGGAAGCAUUUCCAAAAGAACCAAGGACUUCUGCUGGAACAACUAAUAUCUUCGGAUGAAAAUGCAAGUGAGAACACAAAGAUAUUCUCUUUAGAUGAGCUAGAGAAGGCAACAAACAACUUUGAUCCUACACGUAUUCUUGGUCAUGGAGGGCAUGGCAUGGUGUACAAAGGCAUUCUAUCUGACCAACGUGUGGUUGCAAUAAAAAGGUCUAAGCACAUUGAGGAAGGAGAGAUCAGUCAAUUCAUUAAUGAGGUAGCAAUUCUGUCUCAAAUAAAUCAUCGAAAUAUAGUGAAAUUAUUUGGAUGUUGUCUUGAAACCGAGGUCCCAUUAUUGGUAUAUGACUUUAUUCCCAAUGGUUCAUUAUUUGGUAUUCUCCAUUCUGGUUCAAACAAUGGUUUCUCCUUGUCAUGGGAUGACUGCCUAAGAAUUGCAGUGGAAGCUGCAGGAGCUCUCUAUUAUCUCCAUUCGGCAGCUUCAGUAUCAGUGUUCCAUCGUGAUGUGAAAUCCUCUAAUAUACUUCUAGAUGCAAACUACACCGCUAAAGUAUCAGACUUUGGUGCUUCGAGAUUGGUUCCCAUUGACCAAACUCAUGUUGUCACAAAUGUACAAGGCACAUUUGGUUACUUAGAUCCAGAGUAUUAUCAUACCGGGCAGCUGAAUGAGAAGAGUGAUGUAUAUAGUUUUGGUGUGGUACUUGUGGAACUACUACUCAGAAAAGAGCCUAUUUUUACAAGGGUGUCAGGAUCAAAGCAGAAUUUGUCCAAUUACUUUCUCUGGGAACUGAAGGUGAAGCCAAUCACGGAGAUUGUUGCUGCUCAAGUUCGUGAGGAAGCUACUGACGAAGAGAUAGAGAGUGUCGCUUCUCUUGCACAGAUGUGCUUGAGGCUCCGAAGUGAAGAUAGACCUACUAUGAAGCAAGUUGAAAUGAAUUUACAGUUCUUGCGAACAAAAAGGUUGAACUCAUGCCCUGAUGCUCUAGACAAAGCUGAAGAGAUGCAGCCUUUGCUAUGUACAAGAUCUGAAGCUAGUUGUGCAUCAUUGGCGAUUAACUUGGGUGACAGUUAUAACCCUGAGUCUCAAAGUAGCCACAAAUGCUAUAGCUUGGAGCAAGAGUUUAGUUCAUCAGUUGGGUUGCCACGGUAAGUUGCUCAGAGCCAUGCUAUAAUAUGAAAUUCAAUUGAGCUGUGGAGGAAAAUGAUUGGAUGUUUUCAGAUCUAGACAGGUCUGAAAUGUAUCAACUCCUCAAUGUGGUCUACCAUUUUAUUAAUUAUUAUCCCAAAUAAUGUACAAUUCCUUUUAUAUCUCUUAGGUACCAAGUAUCAUGUAUGCUAGAGCACUUGUUUAUAAACAACAGGAUUAGUCUGAUGCGCUAUUAUGCUGAUACUGUGAUUGCUCAUAACAUGCGUACACUUCUUUGUUAUGAGAAGCACAUACUUCCAAUGUGGGUGUUUCAAAAGUUUAGUCCCAUGUAUAAAAUAUAUGAUGAAUAUAUCUAGGUGAGAAAUGGUUGGAAAAUACUACAAGGAAAUGCUAUAUAUUUUCAACAUUGCUCAACCAGUUCUACAUACUUUGUAUAUAUAUGUAUGGGUUCCAUCAAGUCAUGAAACUUUGUAUAUAUAUGUUUCAAAACGACAAAAAAUCGCAGACAAUUAGUGGAAAGAAAGAACUAUGCUUUGUAUCUAAAGUUAUAGGACCACGGCUAGGCUACAAUGCUACUUGUAUAACGAGGCAAUGAGUACUCUCCGUGCGAUUAUUUCUGGGUGACGUGUGAGUUGAACGACUUAAUAUAUGCCACACAAAUAGUUAAAAUAUACUCCCUCCGUUUCAUAUUAUUAUUAAAAUAUACUCCCUCCUAGUUAAGUUUGACCAGGUUUAUAAAAAAAAUAACAACAUCUAAAAUAUCAAACUAGUUUCAUAAAAUCUAACAUUGAAUAUAUUUUAAUAAUAUGUUUGUUUUUUUUCAAAUACUAAUAUAUUUUUCUAUAAAUUUGAUCAACCUUGACUUACAAAAGGUCAAAUGACUUAUAGUAUGAAAUGAGGGAGUAAUAGCUAAAACAAUCAACGAAGAUCUCCAUACCUGGAAUUGAACAUGCAAGUCGAAGGCCAUAAGGAAGAUAGUGGCAGCAACCAUUCGUCCUCAAUUACCCAAACGCUGCAUAUGCGACCACACAUGAGCAAAUUAAUCAGGAAAAUCGCAGGGAAUUAAUGGAGGAGGACAACCAAAAAAAAAGCAUUUCCCCACCAAGAACGGAUUGGGGAAUCGAAGAUGGAAACACUUACACAAUACCUAUUCACUCCCAUCACGAGCAGCCGAGAGAGCAUAUUGGAUUUGGAUCAAGGCAGGGGCGUCCGCCUACCGGAUUCGGGGAGGGAAGAAGUGCGAAGGAAGAGGCCGGCGAGGAAUGCAGUCCGGUCCGGCGGUCUCGUGGCGCGGACGGCGGCGACGGAUGGUCUCGUGGCGGGCGGAGCUCGGUGAGGUGGGGCGGCGCCGCCGGCCACGGGAAGGAGGGAGAAGGGCAUGGGUGGGCCGGAAGGAGAGAGAGAUGGGCCAGGAGGGACCAGAUGGGCAAGGAUGG
rnacentral:lncRNA from 1 species